UGGGGAAUAUUGGACAAUGGGCGCAAGCCUGAUCCAGCCAUGCCGCGUGAGUGAUGAAGGCCCUAGGGUUGUAAAGCUCUUUUGUGCGGGAAGAUAAUGACGGUACCGCAAGAAUAAGCCCCGGCUAACUUCGUGCCAGCAGCCGCGGUAAUACGAAGGGGGCUAGCGUUGCUCGGAAUCACUGGGCGUAAAGGGUGCGUAGGCGGGUCUUUAAGUCAGGGGUGAAAUCCUGGAGCUCAACUCCAGAACUGCCUUUGAUACUGAAGAUCUUGAGUUCGGGAGAGGUGAGUGGAACUGCGAGUGUAGAGGUGAAAUUCGUAGAUAUUCGCAAGAACACCAGUGGCGAAGGCGGCUCACUGGCCCGAUACUGACGCUGAGGCACGAAAGCGUGGGGAGCAAACAGGAUUAGAUACCCAAGUAGUCCCUGAGCGGGCUGGCAAGGCGCAU
rnacentral:rRNA from 1 species